rnacentral:rRNA from 1 species
CCUACGGGUGGCAGCAGUGAGGAAUAUUGGUCAAUGGGCGAGAGCCUGAACCAGCCAAGUCGCGUGAGGGAUGACGGUCCUACGGAUUGUAAACCUCUUUUGCCGGGGAGCAAGCGUGCGUUCGUGAACGCGCGUCGCGAGUACCCGGAGAGAAAGCAUCGGCUAACUCCGUGCCAGCAGCCGCGGUAAUACGGAGGAUGCGAGCGUUAUCCGGCUUUAUUGGGUUUGCAGGGUGCGUAGGCGGGAUGCAAAGUCAGCGGUAAAAAUGCGGUGCCAAACGCAGUCGGGCCGUUGAAACUGGCGUUCUUGAGUGGGCGAGAGGUAUGCGGAAGGCGUGGUGUAGCGGUGAAAUGCAUAGAUAUCACGCAGAACUCCGAUUGCGAAGGCAGCAUACCGGCGCCCGACUGACGCUGAGGCACGAAAGCGUGGGUAUCGAACAGGAUUAGAUACCCCGGUAGUC